GGAUGGACUCAGUUUUAUUCAUUAUUUUUAUAUAAUUGCCAUAGAGACUAUUAUACCCAGGUUUUAUCACUUGCUGAUUAUACACUUCAACCAAUUGGUUUCUAUUUUAUGGUACUGUUCUCUGUACAAUAGCGCAGCCCUUAACUCCUCUUUUUUUCUUCCUAUCAUAAGGGUAGUGACCAAGUGCUACAUGCAUGUGUGACAUGGCUACAUUUACCCACAUGUAAACCUCUAAUGAAGAACUAUUUCACUUAUCUGUGAGUUGUAGUAACUUUGUAAAAGGCUUGUAAAAUCUAGACCAAAAUAAGAAGUGUUUCAAAUUAGCUUGCUUCUUUAAGUAGACUGUUCCUUCUGUUUCUUUAGCCUUCUUGGUACUCUAUAUUUUUUACAAAUUCAAUCUCUUUUUUAUGCUGUUGUGCUGUGUUUCCCACAUAUGUUCUCUGUUUAACUCUACCUUCCAGGAGCAAAAAAAAAAAAAAAGCUUAAUAUUCACAAUAUUUACAGACAGCAGAGAGUGAUGGGUCUGCACCUAACCUUCAUAUGCAAAACUACUUUUCUGCUGACACCAGACUGCUUAGAAAAGCACAUACAGAGUUAUUCACUAAAGUUAGUAUUCUCAGGAAUCCAAAGUAAAUUUCUAAUUUUAGAUGAAAAACUCGUUUAUAACAGAUUUGAGAUUUUUUUCAAUUCAGCUAUAUUUGAACUUUUUAAAAAAAUUUCCUGACAGUUUAAACUUUAGUAAAUAACCCUGAUAGACUGAAACUUAAAUAAAAUUCAGCAACACAAAUUUAAAAUUCUCCUAGACAUGCUACCAUAAAUACUAGUUUUAUUAAAGGUUUGUAACAAUACAAUGGAAACCAAUCAAACAAAAGGCUCACAGUGAUUUCUGAGAUAACUCCAGGAUAUUUUUCAAGGAUUAAAUGUGUAAUUCUACUUGAGAUAUGCAUAAAGAACACUUAUUUGAAAGGGAUAUUUAUUAAAAAGAAAAAAGAAACCCUAGACAAGUUUGCUAUUAUUAUUUUGACAAGAAUCACACAGUAUAGGUGUACAAGUACAGGAGCCAUCAAUGUCAGACUUUAAUAAACUAAAUAAGGGAUACUUUUAGAAUUAUAAUUAGCAGUAACAAUGUCUCACUUAUGACAUUGCAUUGAAGCAGCUUAGAACUGCCAACUGCUGCCAAUAAAGUGCACUAUAUUGUAUAACAAAAACAAAUUUGGUUGCAGGAGAAGUUAAAAUUUCAGUUACAUUUGGUUGAACAUUUCUUGUAAACAUAUUCAGAAACCAGCUUUCCUCACCAGGGAUAAAAAACACUUCUGGGAGAAUUUGAAAAUUCCCCAUGCCAGAGAAGUAUGUAUCCUCGCUUUUUUGGCAUAGGAAAUGUAAACAUGGUGCUACAUACACAACCACUAGAACAACAGCGGCCUUAUCUGGGGGGUGGCCUCCCCAUGUCAUCCUACUCCCAGUUUGAGUACAAACUCCCUUUUUGCCUUUUUAAAGUGAUCCGUUACUCUGGUCCCAAAUGUCUGUUUUGUCGAGGUGUUCGGGGGGUGGGAAGGGGCAUGUAGCACAUUGGCAUUUUUUAGAUGUAUUUAUAAAAUUGUACAUGUUAAAAAACAAAAACGCUUAUUUUAUUGUGUUUCUUAUGUUUUGCUUACGAGUUAUAUAAAAAGGUGUGUGUUAACCUAAGUGACCAGAGUGUGAUCACACUUACAAAUGUAUAUUAUGUCUGAAACAAAACUUCCAUUAACCCUUUAAGGACCAAACUUCUGGAAUAAAAGGGAAUCAUGACAUGUGUCCUUAAGGGGUUAAAUAUCUUGUUCAUACCUUGCACUUGCAAAAAAAUACUUUUGCUUUUGGUUUUAAACUAAGUGCAAAUCAUAAAAAUGUUGGCAAAAUAGUAAAUAGUCUAAAUUCCAUAACUCCAAUGUGCUAUAUGGAUGAUUUAGCAACAGGCUUAUUUUAUUCUGUCCACUCAAGUUGUAGAAAAAGACUCUUUAGUCCAGUGAC